UACCAGGCACCCGAGUGGUCGGGACGAUUAUUGGGCCUGAAGCAAUCCGUAGCCGGUCCCACAAGUCCUCCGUUAAAUCCAACUGCUUAACAGAUGGGCCGCGAGGAUACUAUGGGGCUAGGAGGCAGGAGAGGCAAGCGGUACUCAGUGGGGUAGGGGUAAAAUCCGUUGAUCCACUGAAGACCACCAGUGGCGAAGGCGGCUUGCCAGAAUGCGCUCGACGGUGAGGGAUGAAAGCUGGGGGAGCAAACCGGA
rnacentral:rRNA from 1 species